rnacentral:lncRNA from 1 species
GGAAGUAUCACGUUCUUUCUCUAUUAUUUCUUGUGUUGAUAGUUAAUAAGGCUAGAGGGUAUUGGGUUCGUCCCCACCCUCGUCGAGGACCGGCGACGCCGGCAAACCAUCCCCCCCCCCCCCCCCCCGGGUCCCCAUCCUAUCCAUCCUGCUCAAGACGUUGGCGACGGUCCGUUUUUUGUGGGCCCCCAUCAUUUUUGACCGUUAAAAAUAAAAAAAAAAAAUUCGGAAUAGUAUUUGAGUUGUGGGUUGAAUCGGAUUGGAGUUGCCGGAAAUCCGCCGGAUAAAACGAAUGGAAAAAUAAAGGUGAUGAAAGGUUGUGUUUGCUAAAUCGAAGAAGUGGAGGAAGAUGGUUUUAGAGAAUUAGGGUUAAUGAAGAAGAUGAUGGAGGCUAGUUGCAACAAAUGAUGUUUGUUUAGAAAAAUAAAAACUUUAAUACUGUGUGCUGCAAAUGGUUUUGGUUUUUAUUUUAAAUUAAAAAUAAAAAAUAAUACAAUUGUUGCUUUUAAUGUAUGUUUUUUUUAAGUUUAUGUAAUGUUUUUUAAUAUUAAUGAAAAUAUUUUGU